rnacentral:rRNA from 1 species
UGCAACCUACCUUAUACUGGGGUAUAGCCCGGAGAAAUUCGGAUUAAUCCCCCAUAGUAUUAUCGAUUCGCAUGUUUUGAUAAUUAAAGGUUACGGUAUAAGAUGGGCAUGCGUCCCAUUAGCUAGAUGGUGAGGUAACGGCUCACCAUGGCGACGAUGGGUAGGGGGCCUGAGAGGGCGGUCC